UACGGAGGGAGCAAGCGUUACUCGGAAUUAUUGGGCGUAAAGGGCGCGUAGGCGAUCCUGUAAGUCUCGUGUGAAAUCCCAGGGCUUAACCCUGGAAUGGCAAGAGAAACUGCUGGAAUUGAGUUCCGGAGAGGAAGGCAGAAUUCCCGGUGUAGCGGUGAAAUGCGUAGAUAUCGGGAGGAAUACCAGUGGCGAAGGCGGCCUUCUGGACGGAUACUGACGCUGAGGCGCGAAAGCCAGGGGAGCAAACGGG
rnacentral:rRNA from 1 species